rnacentral:rRNA from 1 species
AUUGAACGCUGGCGGCAUGCUUUACACAUGCAAGUCGAACGGCAGCUCGGGCUUCGGCCUGGCGGCGAGUGGCGAACGGGUGAGUAAUACAUCGGAACGGGCGCAGUAGUGGGGGAUAGCUCGGCGAAAGCCGGAUUAAUACCGCAUACGACCUGAGGGUGAAAGCGGGGGAUCUUCGGACCUCGCGCUAUUGGAGCGGCCGAUGGCAGAUUAGCUAGUUGGUGGGGUAAAGGCCUACCAAGGCGACGAUCUGUAGCUGGUCUGAGAGGACGACCAGCCACACUGGGACUGAGACACGGCCCAGACUCCUACGGGAGGCAGCAGUGGGGAAUUUUGGAAAAUGGGCGAAAGCCUGAUCCAGCAAUGCCGCGUGUGUGAUGAAGGCCUUCGGGUUGUAAAGCACUUUUGGCGGGAACGAAAAGGACUGUGCCAAUACCACGGUUCGAUGACGGUACCCGCAGAAUAAGCACCGGCUAACUACGUG